rnacentral:rRNA from 1 species
GACGAACGCUGGCGGCGUGCUUAACACAUGCAAGUCGAACGGAAGGGCCCCUUUGGGGUGACUCGAGUGGCGACCGGGUGAGUACCACGUAAGUAACCUGCCCUUUACUCUUGGUCAACGUCAGUAAACUGGGGAUAAUACCGGUAAGAACUCAUUGCUCCAUGGUGGGGGUUGGAGAGCUUUGGGGGGUUUGGAUGGACUGGCGGGUUAGUAGCUUGUUGGGGGGUUAGUGGGUUACCAGGGCUUUGACGCGUAGCCGGACCGAGAGAGUGACCGGCGGUAUUGGGUCCUAGAGACGGCCCAGAUGCCGACGGGUGGCAGAUGGGGGGAAGAUUGCACCAGGGGCGGAGGCCGGAUGCAGCAACGCCGCGGGUGGGAUGACGGCCUUGGGGUUGUAAACCGCUUUCAGCAGGGGAGAAGCUUGUGGUGACGGUACCUGCAGAAGAAGCACCGGCUAACUACGUG